AUUGAACGCUGGCGGCAGGCCUAACACAUGCAAGUCGAGCGGAUGAAGGGAGCUUGCUCCUGGAUUCAGCGGCGGACGGGUGAGUAAUGCCUAGGAAUCUGCCUGGUAGUGGGGGAUAACGUCCGGAAACGGGCGCUAAUACCGCAUACGUCCUGAGGGAGAAAGUGGGGGAUCUUCGGACCUCACGCUAUCAUAUGAGCCUAGGUCGGAUUAGCUAGUUGGUGGGGUAAAGGCCUACCAAGCGGACGAUCCGUAACUGGUCUGAGAGGCUGAUCAGUCACAUGGGAACUGGGACAGGGACAAGGCUCCUAAGGGAGGCAGCAGACGGGAAUAUUGGACAAUGGGGGAAAGCCUGAUCCAGCCAUGCCGCGUGUGUGAAGAAGGUCUUCGGAUUGUAAAGCACUUUAAGUUGGGAGGAAGGGCAGUAAGUUAAUACCUUGCUGUUUUGACGUUACCAACAGAAUAAGCACCGGCUAACUUCGUG
rnacentral:rRNA from 1 species